AGGACGAACGCUGGCGGCGUGCUUAACACAUGCAAGUCGAGCGGUAAGGCCUUUCGGGGUACACGAGCUGCGAACGGGUGAGUAACACGUGGGUGAUCUGCCCUGCACUUCGGGAUAAGCCUGGGAAACUGGGUCUAAUGCCGGAUAUGACCUCAGGUUGCAUGACUUGGGGUGGAAAGAUUUAUCGGUGCAGGAUGGGCCCGCGGCCUAUCAGCUUGUUGGUGGGUAAUGGCCUACCAAGGCGACGACGGGUAGCCGACCUGAGAGGGUGACCGGCCACGACGUGGGACUGAGACACGGCCCAGACUCCUACGGGAGGCAGCAGUGGGGAAUAUUGCACAAGUGGGCGAAAGCCUGAUGCAGCGACGCCGCGUGAGGAUGGACCGGUCCGUUCGGGUUACGUAAACCCGUUCCGUUUACGAACGCGUAACGGGACCGAAGGACCGACG
rnacentral:rRNA from 1 species